rnacentral:rRNA from 1 species
GAUGAACGCUGGCGGCGUGCUUAACACAUGCAAGUCGAACGGUGAAGGCGGAGCUUGCUCUGCUGGAUCAGUGGCGAACGGGUGAGUAACACGUGAGCAAUCUGCCCCUGACUCUGGGAUAAGCGCUGGAAACGGCGUCUAAUACUGGAUACGAGCUGCGAAGGCAUCUUCAGCAGCUGGGAAGAAUUUCGGUCAGGGAUGAGCUCGCGGCCUAUCAGCUUGUUGGUGAGGUAAUGGCUCACCAAGGCGUCGACGGGUAGCCGGCCUGAGAGGGUGACCGGCCACACUGGGACUGAGACACGGCCCAGACUCCUACGGGAGGCAGCAGUGGGGAAUAUUGCACAAUGGGCGAAAGCCUGAUGCAGCAACGCCGCGUGAGGGACGACGGCCUUCGGGUUGUAAACCUCUUUUAGCAGGGAAGAAGCGAAAGUGACGGUACCUGCAGAAAAAGCGCCGGCUAACUACGU